rnacentral:lncRNA from 1 species
UGUUAUUCUUAUACACCUGGGGUGUUUUAUAAUUAGCAUUUUGUUACUAAGUAGAAAAAACAUACUCUAACAUAAAAACUAACUUUUUGCUAGUAAGUAUAAAACAUACACUCUAAAAUAAAUGAAAAGUGUAUGGUGCAGCUAGAACAUAAAGCAGUACCAUGGUUAUCAUUUUUUCAAAAUUCUGUAAUGUACAUACCGUGUCUUACACUGAAGCAUAGACUUGUUUCCAUAAGCAUCACUGCAAGCAUGGUCCUCGUGACGCUGGUGUGGUACUGAAUGGCGGGGAUGCUCGGAUGCUUUGGAAGCUUGCAGAACUCAUGCCUCUUAUUCAUUACUGAAAGAAAAAAUGGUUUGUACAAUAGAACUUGUAUAUGUAACUUGGAUUAAACUUUUUUUUUUCUUUGAAUUGGAAAGGUAAAAUGAAAGAAAUGUUGGGUGUAGACAUGUUUAGUUUUCUAGAAGAGAUUGACACACUUAAGUACUGAUCCAAUGAGCUAGCAAUAAGAAAAAGUUAAAGGGAAAUAGAGACUGUAUAGCAGAGCUUUAGACUCUACGAACAAUAUAAAGGAGGUUAGCAUGGGGUUUGAAAUAGGGUACAGCUGGCCGUAGAGAAGGUGUAAGCUCUUGUGUUGACACAAGACAGAGUGAGUCUGGGUGAAAAUACUAUUGUAUCUGGGGAUUUAAUGGAAAUAGUCUUAUCCUUAUUAAGUGCAGAGAUAAUUUUCCAUAGAAUGAUGGUUUUUUUGAGACUUACUCAAAUGAAAGAACAAAUUUUCUAGGAAGACAUCAUUGUUAGGCUAAGAGACACACCUAGGUCAGUGAAUUUGAAUUUAUAGUAGUAUCCCAAAACCUCUUUUGUAGAGUUUUCUGCCAAUGCCCAGAAAUCAAAAGUAUAGAAAUUAGAUUCAGAUGCUGUUGAAACUGAGGCUGAAGAGAUUGCUUAUCAGUUAAAGAAUGCGUGCUCUCUUCCAAAGUUCAUCGACAUCUGGUGGUUCAAAAUUGCCCAUAACUCCAGCUUCAGAAGAACGGACACCCCUUACUGUUUAUAUGUGCACUGUGCACAUAUUACACACAUUCACAGACAGACAGACAGACAUAAAUAAAAAUAAAUAUGUAUAUAUAAAUAAAUAAAUAUCUGUAUACAUACAUAUAUGUGUGUAUGUAUAUAUACAUAUGUUUAUAUAUUUAUACAGCAAAGAAAUUAUUGAAGACUCUAGUAAAUCUGAUCAGGUUGAAGACUUCAAAACCAAAUGGUGCAAGAUUUACAAGAACAUCAUGAAAAAUUAAGAGAAUCCUGAGAAAGGGGGAGUGACUACAUUUAUCAUUUCAGAGGUUAGAUAUUUGGGGACAAUGACUAGGCCUAUGUGGGACUCUGUAGUUGAACCUGAUAUAUUUUAUUUCAGAAUAUUUAUAGAUUGUCUUACUACUAGGAUUUGGCAAUGAGUAUCUAAAGCCAGUCUGAGGGCUCAAAAUUUAAGGAAAGGCCGGGUGUGGUGGUGCACACCUUUAAUCCCAGCACUUGGGAGGCAGUUCAAGGCCAGCCUGGUCUACAAAGUGAGUUCCAGGAUAGCCAAGGCUACACAGAGAAACCCUGUCUCGAAAAACC